AGAAGACAUUUCAAGGAGAGGUCGUUAUGUUGGGUGAAACCUUCACCUCCAUUCAAACAACAAAAAGAUUUUGCAUUGUGUCUUACAAGAUGGUGAAAUUUGUCUCUGAAAUGGGAAGAGAAGUCGUCAACCCUUAAAGUCCUGUUUGAAGAGCAGGGAAAUGUUCUGCCAACGUGAUGGUGAAAAGCUGCUUUAGGCUGAGAAGGGAAGGUGUGCAAUCAACCAUGCUCCAGGAGGACACAUGAUUUCAGAUCAAGGGCUCAGAAACCAGUCUCUGCAUUCCCCUGUCCACUGAGUGGCACACAGUCCCUUCGCGAAUGGACAGCCAUGGCUUGGAAGAGGACACAAUAGCUCUACAGGCAUCUGUGGUAACUACAGACUCUGCUGAAUUUCCCAGAGAUGAAGCCAGAUCCUGUCCAAACAAGAAGUAAUGAAGCCCCUUCCACGGGAAAGAUGACUUGGUAGCAGAAGGCUGUGUCCAUCCCAUGACAUUUCAUCUACCAGUUCCUAAUGGUCUUGGAAGCAUUUUCAGACAGGUUCAUCUGACUGCCAAAGACACCAACGCAGUUUCCCCCAUCAAGGUUCGACUCCAUCCCACCAAACAUGAUGUGCUGCCCAUAGGUUUGUUGCCAUUCCUAGUGACAAGGGACUGUGACCACCCCCAGGCCAAUCU